CAAAUGUCCAUAGUAGUAACGCUUGAAGUGAGUGUGAAGAUUCAAUGGGAUGAUCCAUAGAAAGCACUAUAUGGAGUCAGAUGAGUCCUGAUACACUGAUAUAUGCCAUAAUUCUACACUACAAUCCAUUGCCUGCCAACAACUCUAAUAUCACGAGAACUAAUCUGUUGUGCUGGUGAAAUGUUCUUAUCUCAGUAAGCUUUGGAAGUAUCCUGUGUAGAGCAAAGGAAACAGUCAACAAAACAAAGAGACAACUCAUGGAGUGGGAGAAGAUAUU